rnacentral:rRNA from 1 species
UACAGAGGGGGCGAGCGUUGUUCGGAAUUACUGGGCGUAAAGGGCGCGUAGGCGGCCUCUUAAGUCGAACGUGAAAUCCCCGGGCUCAACCCGGGAACUGCGUCCGAUACUGGGGGGCUUGAAUCCGGGAGAGGGAUGUGGAAUUCCAGGUGUAGCGGUGAAAUGCGUAGAUAUCGGGAGGAACACCAGUGGCGAAGGCGGCUCACUGGACCGGAACUGACGCUGAGGCGCGAAAGCGUGGGGAGCAAACGGG